CAGACCACUAACCUAAAACACGAGACAACAUUCGUUCAUAAUAAUAAUGGCGAUGAUAACUAUAGGAUUUAUAUUUCUGGGUCUGGUUUUGCCCAGCUAUGGCCAGUUAUAUCAACCACGUGACAUCACCAACGCAGAAUUUCUCCAAUAUUAUAUUUCUGGUGCUGCCUUGAGUUAUCAAAUCGAUGUGAAGAAGUGUCACCCGGAGCCCAACAUAAACAACAUUACCGUGUAUUCAUUCAGUGAAGAUAUUGACCAUGGAUAUGUUACUGUUAUCAAGGACGCUCAGUGGGAGAUGAACUUCGGGGUUGAACGACAAGUGAACGGACAGAGAUUGAACUUAACAGGGCCAGCCUUUCGUUAUACGGGUUUCACUCUAGACAAUACAGGCGAGGCUUUAAUCGGCUUAAACGACGUUAAUCCAAUGAAUUAUGAAAACUUGGCUCAAGCUGAGUUGUACUGUCAUAUGGACCAGGGUGAUACGAGUGGUUUACGGAUCGUAGCAACAUCUCCACCAGGAACAGCUCUAGCAAACUUCGUACAACUACAAACCGCUUUGAAUGUUGGUUAUAGCCUUUAUUAUGCUAUUGAUAUAUAUAGAUGUAAACCUGUUGUAUCUAGUGCGGACCAUCAGUGGAUCGCUGGCAGACUUACUGGUGCCCGUUAUGCUCCUAAUGGUGAUGUCGUAUUUACUGUUCAAACAGUGGAUCUUGGUUUCACAACUAUAUUCAAUGUCAAGGUUAAACCAGACAAUUCGGUUACUGUUAAACUAUAUGUUUACAGCAAGGCAUCAAAAUCUUCUUAUGGAAACCAAGAUAAGAAUUGUACUCUGGGUACCCAAGACACUGUCAGGAUUUUUAGACAAUAAAAGAGAUA